UUACUCUUCGGAGUGAGAGCGUACACAGGUGCUGCAUGGCUGUCGUCAGCUCGUGUCGUGAGAUGUGGUUAAGUCCGCAACGAGCGCAACCCUGCAUUCAGUUGCCAUCGGUAAGGCCGGGCACUCUGGAUGGACUGCCGGCGACAAGCCGGAGGAAGGUGGGGACGACGUCAAGUCAUCAUGGCCCUUAUGUCCAGGGCGACACACGUGCUACAAUGGCCGGCACAACGGGAAGCGAAGGGGCGACCCUGAGCGGAUCCCACAAAAGCCGGUCUCAGUUCGGAUUGCAGUCUGCAACUCGACUGCAUGAAGUUGGAAUCGCUAGUAAUCGUGGAUCAGCCAAGCCGCGGUGAAUACGUUCCCGGGCCUU
rnacentral:rRNA from 1 species